CCUACGGGUGGCUGCAGUGGGGAAUAUUGGACAAUGGGCGAAAGCCUGAUCCAGCCAUGCCGCGUGUGUGAAGAAGGCCUUCGGGUUGUAAAGCACUUUCAGUGGGGAAGAAAGCCUUGGGGCUAAUACCCUCGAGGAAGGACAUCACCCACAGAAGAAGCACCGGCUAACUCCGUGCCAGCAGCCGCGGUAAUACGGAGGGUGCGAGCGUUAAUCGGAAUUACUGGGCGUAAAGCGCGCGUAGGCGGUCUGAUAAGCCGGUUGUGAAAGCCCCGGGCUCAACCUGGGAACGGCAUCCGGAACUGUCAGGCUAGAGUGCAGGAGAGGAAGGUAGAAUUCCCUGUGUAGCGGUGAAAUGCGUAGAGAUCGGGAGGAAUACCAGUGGCGAAGGCGGCCUUCUGGACUGACACUGACGCUGAGGUGCGAAAGCGUGGGUAGCAAACAGGACUAGAUACCCUGGUAGUC
rnacentral:rRNA from 1 species